UACAGUCUCACUGUCACCCAUGCUGGACUGCCAUCACGUGAUCUUGGUUCACUGUAGCCUUGAACUCCUGGGCUCAGGCAAUCCUCCUGCCUCAGCCUCCCAUGUAGAUGGGACUACAGGGUGUGCUACCACACUUAGAAAAUGUUUUUAUUUUUUGUAGAGACAGGGUCUCACUAGGUUGACCAGAGUAGUCCUGGCAUCAAGCAAUCCUACUGCCUUAGUCUCCCAGUGUUGGGAUCACAGGUGUGACCAUGCCCAGCUGUGUUGUACUUUUUUUUUUUUUUUUUUUUUGAGACAGAGUCUCGCUCUGUUGGCCGGAUCUCAGCUCACUGUCAGCUCGGCCUCCUGGGUUUAUGCCAUUCUCCUGCCUCAGCCUCCCAAGUAGCUGGGACUACAGGCGCCCACCACCACGCCCGGCUAAUUGUUUGUAUUUUUAGUAGAGAUGGGGUUUUACCGUGUUAGCCAGGAUGGUCUUGAUCUCCUGGCCUCGUGAUCCGCCCGCCUUGGCCUCCCAAAGUGCUGGGAUUACAGGCGUGAGCCACCGUCCCCGGCCGCUGUCUUGUACUUUUAUACAACUGAAAGUGCAGCACGUUUACACCAGCACCAUAAACACUUAAAUAAUGUGCUGCACUAUGGUUGUGGCAAAGCUUUCACUUGUUUAAAUUCCCUGAAAUAAGCUGGGCGCGGUGGCUCACGCCUGUAAUCCCAGCACUUUGGGAGGCCGAGGCCGGCGGAUCACCUGAGGUCAGGAGAUCAAGACCAUCCUGGCUAACACGGUGAAACCCC
rnacentral:lncRNA from 10 species